AAAAGAUCAAAAUGAAAAUUUUAUACUUUUUAGAUAGAUUGACCGUUUUUAUAAGGAGGUGUGGUAUGGUUGUAAAUAAGACAACUAUCCCUCAGACACCAACGGACGUGGAUGUAAACAACUCUAGGUAACCGUACUGUCCUCAACAAUGAGACAACUAUUCCUCAGACAUCAACGGACGUGGAUGUAAACACCUAUAGGUAACCGUACUGUCCUCAACAAUGAGACAAUUAUCCCUCAGACACCAACGGACGUGGAUGUAAACAACUCUAGGUAACCGUACUGUCCUCAACAAUGAGACAACUAUCCCUCAGACACCAACGGACGUGGAUGUAAACAACUCUAGGUAACCGUACUGUCCUCAACAAUGAGACAACUAUCCCUCAGACACCAACGGACGUGGAUGUAAACAACUCUAGGUAACCGUACUGUCCUCAACAAUGAGACAACUAUCCCUCAGACACCAACGGACGUGGAUGUAAACAACUCUAGGUAACCGUACUGUCCUCAACAAUGAGACAACUAUCCCUCAGACACCAACGGACGUGGAUGUAAACAACUCUAGGUAACCGUACUGUCCUCAACAAUGAGACAACUAUCCCUCAGACACCAACGGACGUGGAUGUAAACAACUCUAGGUAACCGUACUGUCCUCAACAAUGAGACAACUAUCCCUCAGACACCAACGGACGUGGAUGUAAACAACUCUAGGUAACCGUACUGUCCUCAACAAUGAGACAACUAUCCCUCAGACACCAACGGACGUGGAUAUAAACAACUCUAGG